rnacentral:rRNA from 2 species
CAUGAUUUACAUUUGAGUGAGUGGCGAACUGGUGAGUAACACGUGGGAAACCUGCCCAGAAGCGGGGGAUAACACCUGGAAACAGAUGCUAAUACCGCAUAACAACUUGGACCGCAUGGUCCGAGUUUGAAAGAUGGCUUCGGCUAUCACUUUUGGAUGGUCCCGCGGCGUAUUAGCUAGAUGGUGGGGUAACGGCUCACCAUGGCAAUGAUACGUAGCCGACCUGAGAGGGUAAUCGGCCACAUUGGGACUGAGACACGGCCCAAACUCCUACGGGAGGCAGCAGUAGGGAAUCUUCCACAAUGGACGAAAGUCUGAUGGAGCAACGCCGCGUGAGUGAAGAAGGGUUUCGGCUCGUAAAACUCUGUUGUUAAAGAAGAACAUAUCUGAGAGUAACUGUUCAGGUAUUGACGGUAUUUAACCAGAAAGCCACGGCUAACUACGUGCCAGCAGCCGCGGUAAUACGUAGGUGGCAAGCGUUGUCCGGAUUUAUUGGGCGUAAAGCGAGCGCAGGCGGUUUUUUAAGUCUGAUGUGAAAGCCUUCGGCUCAACCGAAGAAGUGCAUCGGAAACUGGGAAACUUGAGUGCAGAAGAGGACAGUGGAACUCCAUGUGUAGCGGUGAAAUGCGUAGAUAUAUGGAAGAACACCAGUGGCGAAGGCGGCUGUCUGGUCUGUAACUGACGCUGAGGCUCGAAAGUAUGGGUAGCAAACAGGAUUAGAUACCCUGGUAGUCCAUACCGUAAACGAUGAAUGCUAAGUGUUGGAGGGUUUCCGCCCUUCAGUGCUGCAGCUAACGCAUUAAGCAUUCCGCCUGGGGAGUACGGCCGCAAGGCUGAAACUCAAAGGAAUUGACGGGGGCCCGCACAAGCGGUGGAGCAUGUGGUUUAAUUCGAAGCUACGCGAAGAACCUUACCAGGUCUUGACAUACUAUGCAAAUCUAAGAGAUUAGACGUUCCCUUCGGGGACAUGGAUACAGGUGGUGCAUGGUUGUCGUCAGCUCGUGUCGUGAGAUGUUGGGUUAAGUCCCGCAACGAGCGCAACCCUUAUUAUCAGUUGCCAGCAUUAAGUUGGGCACUCUGGUGAGACUGCCGGUGACAAACCGGAGGAAGGUGGGGAUGACGUCAAAUCAUCAUGCCCCUUAUGACCUGGGCUACACACGUGCUACAAUGGAUGGUACAACGAGUUGCGAACUCGCGAGAGUAAGCUAAUCUCUUAAAGCCAUUCUCAGUUCGGAUUGUAGGCUGCAACUCGCCUACAUGAAGUCGGAAUCGCUAGUAAUCGCGGAUCAGCAUGCCGCGGUGAAUACGUUCCCGGGCCUUGUACACACCGCCCGUCACACCAUGAGAGUUUGUAACAC